GCACCUCGAUGUCGGCUCAUCACAUCCUGGGGCUGGAGAAGGUCCCAAGGGUUGGGCUGUUCGCCCAUUAAAGUGGUACGUGAGCUGGGUUUAGAACGUCGUGAGACAGUUCGGUCUCUAUCCGCCGUGGGCGCAGGAGAAUUGAAGGAAUCUGCUUCUAGUACGAGAGGACCGAAGUGGACGAACCUCUGGUGUACCAGUUGUUUCAUCAGAAGCAUCGCUGGGUAGCUAAGUUCGGAAAGGAUAAGCGCUGAAAGCAUAUAAGUGCGAAACCUGACCUAAGAUUAGUUCUCCCUAUCAUAUGAUAAUAAGACUCGUUGUAGACUACGACGUUGAUAGGCCACAAGUGUAAGUAUAGUAAUAUAUUUAGCUGAGUGGUACUAAUUAGUCGAAUGGCUUUAUCAA
rnacentral:rRNA from 1 species